ensembl:lncRNA
GUUAUUUCCUGUUUCCCCUUUGACUUUGGAAAUCUAUACAAAUAAAUUAAAAAUAAUCAUAAUCAAUAAAUAAAAUAACUGAUUAACACAUUCUCAUGAAGGCCUUAACCGAUGGCGCAUGCGCACCAGCUGCAGCUUCCGGACUACAAAUCUCCUGCCCUUUACUUCCCCGUCCAAAACAACAACAGGUGACCGGUUUGUUCGAGUUUACCGGACGGAACCGCAGAGGUUCUUUCCCCAGUGAAAUGUUCAGAAGAUGCCAGGAAAGAGGACCCUGAUGUCCGGUGACGACGGGUUUGAGAGCCGGACUCGGACCGUGGUGGACCGUUGCGGCUCUGGAACGGGACGGUGCCGGUGGAGCAGGCGGGACAGCAUCGUGUGCCCAGAUCCUGCAGGAGCUGGGGAGAGACCUGAGCGUCAGAAUAACCGAGCUGUACCGGGACUCGGCCUCCGAAUUGCUGCGGGAGAACCGGGCUCUGAAGGCGCAGGUCAGGCAGCUGGAGUCCGAACUGAAGCGCACACUCGCGUCCGGAUUCCAGCUGGAGAAGCAGCUGCGGAGCCAGGUGGGCCAGUGUCCUGACUCACCUGCAGGACCUGCAGAAGAUGAGAGAGAGAAGCGAGGAAACCCGAGAGCUGCUGCAGAGGGACGGGACAGAGAAGACCCUGAGCGGACCGGUCCAUGUGCUGCUGCGGAGCGGAUCCGUGCACGGGAUUCCUGCGGUGCCUCUGUACACCAGUCAGACGGCGUUGGACCCUGCGGCCCUGUCGGUGCCUGUCCUGAGUUCUGCGGUGGCCACCGGUCAGAGCGCCGUCCAGCCCUCAGCCUCUCUGGUGGUGACAAGUCGGCCUCUGCACAACCUCAGUUCUGUGCCUGUGAAUUUAAGCCAAGGUGCUGCUGCUUCUCUUGCAACUGCAGCUGCCUCCGACCCGACAGCUAACAGUCAGGAGACCCUCAAUCUUCAACGCCCCCUGGGGGCCACAGGGCAGGAUGCUGACACUGGCUGGUGGUUCGAUACAGCAGGAACCCACAAAGCCAGACCUGUGGACCUAUCGCAGGUCAACUCUGAACCUCAUGUGGGCCCCCCCCCCCCGUUCUUUACAGGACAUGGUGACAAAGCUCAGUGAAGACACUAGAGGAAAACCAGAAGGUGACAGCAGAUUUCAGAAAUUGUUGGACAAAACAUGAAAAAGCUGACAGUAACCAGUACAAAGUUAAUGUAUAUGUAUAUUUUCUCAGAUCUAGGCCUUGGGAAGGGUAACAGCCAGGAGAAAAACAGGAGGAGGAGGGAGAAGCAUCAACAGAAGUGAGUGUUUUGUGAGAAGUGCAACAAGGCUUCCACUAUCAGAAUCAGCUGAAGCAGCACCUGAAGUGUCACAACAAACCUUUCUUCUGCGACCAGUGCCACAAACACUUCCACAAGGAGAAGACUCUCCAUCUCACCUUCAGGCCCACAGAGCGGAAGCAGCAAGCGUGCAGAAACGUCAGAACAUGUGGUAGCCGGAGUGACAAACACUUCGGCCUCCAGAAGAAACUCGACACACACCUCGAUACACAUCAUGAAGCCCAGAAAAAAUCCUUCAGCUGCUGCGUUU